rnacentral:rRNA from 1 species
UACGUAGGGGCCGAGCGUUGUCCGGAUUUACUGGGCGUAAAGAGCGCGCAGGCGGUCGAUCAAGUCGAGUGUGAAAGCCCCCGGCUCAACUGGGGAGGGUCAUUCGAUACUGAUCGACUCGAAGGCAGGAGAGGGUAGUGGAAUUCCCGGUGUAGUGGUGAAAUGCGUAGAUAUCUGGAGGAACACCGGUGGCGAAGGCGGAUUUCUGGACCAGUUCUGACACUGAUGAGCGAAAGCCAGGGGAGUAAACAGG